AGUUGAUAAGCUUUAGAAAGCCUAUAUUUUGAAAAUAUAAGAAAAAGGUUUAAUUCCUUUAUUAACUU
rnacentral:tRNA from 1 species